GGAUCUGACGCCACGCCCGUCCACAUCGAGGGGGCGGCCACUCAGUUCACAUUGAGGACUGGUCAAACAGCAUUUCUGAUCCCGUUUCUGACCUGAAAUUAGCUGAAAUGUACCUGAAAUUACCUGAAAUUAGAGUGUGCCCGCCCGAGCGAGUGAUGCCUAAAACAUGCAAAGACACGUCAGUGUAAUUGUGAAUGGCGAGAGCCCUGAAAUACAGCUGGACAGCAGCGGUCUACAUCACUGCCCCUUCUGCAGAUACAAAGGGUCAAAAUGUGAUAUCGACCAUCACAUUAAAUGCCAUGCCUCGGUUAAAUACAGAGGUCUGCAGAGGAGCUUUCAGGAAGCAGGAAGAGAAGACGGGAG